GACUCUUAUGAUGUUUACCAUAAAACUUUCGUUCUCCUGAGUUUAUAUAUGCUGAAAAUAUCUGGAGACCUGAGCUGAAGAGUC
rnacentral:snoRNA from 1 species